ensembl:lncRNA
UAUCUGUCUCUGUGUCAGUCUGUCUGUCUUGAUCCUGCUGACUGGGAUUGGAGUGUAGUGAGAAUAGAUGAGAAAAACAGCUACAGUCUUUAAAGUCUUAAGUAUACUUUGUUCGCAGAAUAAUAUUUGUAUGUGAGGUGAUUAGUGGAGGGUGUCAGGGACUAGGAUCGUGGUGUUGUCCAAGCUGUGGGGCCUGCUAACACUUGGUGGACUGUAAACAGAGUCUGAAAAAGCCAGAUCUCCCGCCUCAGCUGGUGUGGGAGCCCCUACAGGCAGGUGAAAGAUACAAGAAAGAAGCUGAAGGGGGAAAUGUGAUGGAGAAGGAAAAAUCAGUCGGGUUUGUUCCCUGGCCAUAUGAGAAAAAGUUAAUGGUGAAGAGUGAACACAAGGUGGACCAUCUAUACGAUCCAUGCUGCAUCUUGCCAGGAAGCAUUGAUGUUAGGACACUCUCUCUCUCUCUCUCUCUCUCUCUCUCUCUCUCUCUCUCUCUCUCUCUCUCUCUCUCUCUCUGUACCUAUGUGUGUGUGUGUCACUAGAUCACUACACUCUGUUCCCUUGUGUAUGUCACAUGUGGGAUUUCUUUGAGAUUGAACAAAGUGGUUAACAUUGUACACUGCCAUUCAUAAAGUAUUCUUAGAGUGAUUUUUGGCCAAGUGCUGUCUUCUAGCAGCAAACUCUAAAAAUCUGGCAGAGAAUUACUGUAACAUAUAACAUUGUACAGACAACUUAAAGUAUAAAUACAGCACAAGUGAAAAAACAGUAGUGUUUACCAUCAACAAAGGAAAAGUAGAAAUUGUAGACCUGUGGAAAAACUGCAUACAUUUCAAAUGUGAUUAAUAUGUGAUCGCCAUUAAAACAUUUGAUUGUUUUCAAUACAUUUCAAUGUGUUAUGCUCUGAAAUAGCACAUGCGAGCUCAAGUAAACACAUACGACAUAAUGUGAAUAGUGUAUCAUGUGUAGAGUCAUUUAUUUAUCAUUUUGCACACAUACACUGAGUAUACUAGGCAUUGGAAUGUUUGUGACGAGGCUCAGAUUCAGACAUCGACAGUACACACAUUCAUU